UACGGAGGAUGCAAGCGUUAUCCGGAAUUAUUGGGCGUAAAGCGUCCGCAGGUGGUUAUCCAAGUCUGCUGUUAAAGCGCGAGGCUUAACUUCGUACAGGCAGUGGAAGCUGGGUGACUGGAGUAUGGUAGGGGUAGCGGGAAUUCCCAGUGUAGCGGUGAAAUGCGUAGAUAUUGGGAAGAACACCAGCGGCGAAAGCGCGCUACUGGGCCAUUACUGACACUCAUGGACGAAAGCUAGGGGAGCGAAAGGG
rnacentral:rRNA from 1 species